AUUGAACGCUGGCGGCAUGCCUUACACAUGCAAGUCGAACGGGGGUAGCAAUACCCUAGUGGCGAACGGGUGAGUAAAGCAUCGGAACGUACCCAGUCGUGGGGGAUAACGUAGCGAAAGUUACGCUAAUACCGCAUACGAUCUGAGGAUGAAGGCAGGGGACUCGCAAGAGCCUUGCGCGAUUGGAGCGGCCGAUGUCGGAUUAGCUAGUUGGUGAGGUAUAAGCUCACCAAGGCGACGAUCCGUAGCUGGUCUGAGAGGAUGAUCAGCCACACUGGGACUGAGACACGGCCCAGACUCCUACGGGAGGCAGCAGUGGGGAAUUUUGGACAAUGGGGGAAACCCUGAUCCAGCCAUGCCGCGUGAGUGAAGAAGGCCUUCGGGUUGUAAAGCUCUUUCAGACGGAAAGAAAUGGUCUUGGCUAAUACCCGAGAUCGAUGACGGUACCGUAAGAAGAAGCACCGGCUAACUACGUGCCAGCAGCAGCCGCCG
rnacentral:rRNA from 1 species